CUUGACCGCGCCCAGCCACAGCGGCUUGCCCGCCGGCCGGUCCUGCCCGUACGUCGCCAGCAGUGCCGUGGCCUC
rnacentral:antisense_RNA from 1 species